GCGGAGGCAGCAGCGGCAUGGAGG
rnacentral:piRNA from 1 species